ACCCGGCAAAUUCUGGCUCUGACUGAGGUGGCGAUGUGAGGAUGAUGAUGGCGGCGGCGGCGUUCGUGUCGUUCUAUACAGUUUUAACUCAGCAAGUUAAAAAAAUGACACUACAGGCAGUGCGUCGCCUGGCGAAACCAGACCGGAGAGAAACAAAGAGCCAGAAGGGAAGGAGGCGAGUUCCAUCUACACCAAGCUGCGAGUAGUCACCUCUGAUGUUGCGCAAAUCACCAGGCUUUGGAAAGGCAUUGGAUCUUUAACAAGGAAAUUGGGAGAUGCUUCCAUCCUCGCUGCCUGAUGAGUUUAUUUUAAUCUGCCAGGAUUUAUGAACUGAACAAUAACUUGGUGUGCCAGAACACACACAAACACACACACACAUUUCCCAUUUUAGGUUUUAAUCUGUUAAACUAGUUAUAUUUGAACACCCUUGUAAUUAUCACAUUACUGAGAUGAACGAGUACUGAGACAGAGACGUGAGACUGUGGGGAGUUUAUUUCAGUGUCAGAUUACACUGCCGGCUUUUAACUGUGGAAAAGAAAAAUGACAAUUAGAUGUUUUGCUGCAUAGAUGCAGAUGGAGUUAACCUUCAUCUUCAGCGGGGUUUAAUGUAGUAUUCAUGUGAAUAAAAUGAGCUUUAAUUCCACCCCCCCCCUUCCAAUAGCAUGUCCUCCUGUGGGCCUGGAGUGGGCCAGGGUCCACCACGGAGGACUCAACAUACAGUCCAAGAGAACCACCUCGUGAGCUGGUACUGAGUUCCCAAUCUGAUGAUGUGACUCUGCUCAACAAUUCUCCUCCACCAAUCAGUGAGCAGCUUUCUUUACUCGGCAUGAGACCGCAAUAGAAUGAGAGUCAGUCUCUUGUCAGCAGCCAUGAGUGCCAUGGACCUAUCUGCCUGCUCUUCCUCCUCCCAGAUACCAGUGAUAAUGAAGAUGACAGUAGAAGUUCGUCUCGGACACCAGGGAACACGUCACACAGAUGGCCCUCUACUACAUCCUGCAUGGCUAUACAUCCCUCCACCACAUUGUGAAAUU
ensembl:lncRNA